AUUGAACGCUGGCGGCAGGCCUAACACAUGCAAGUCGAGCGGAGCGGCGGACGGGUGAGUAAUGCCUAGGAAUUUGCCUGGUAGUGGGGGACACCGUCCGGAAACGGGCGCUAAUACCGCAUACUAUCAGAUGAGCCUAGGUCGGCUUAGCUAGUUGGUGGGGCAAAGGCCUACCAAGGCGACGAGCCGUAACCGGCCUGAGAGGAUGAUCAGUCACACUGGAACUGAGACACGGUCCAGACUCCUACGGGAGGCAGCAGUGGGGAAUAUUGGGCAAUGGGCGAAAGCCUGAUCGAGCCAUGCCGCGUGUGUGAAGAAGGUCUUCGGAUUGUAAAGCACUUUAAGUUGGGAGGCGGUACCUAAAGAGUAAGCACCGGCUAACUUCGUGCCAGCAGCCGCGGUAAUUC
rnacentral:rRNA from 1 species